rnacentral:rRNA from 1 species
UGGGGAAUAUUGGACAAUGGGCGGAAGCCUGGUCCAGCAACGCCGCGUGAGGGAUGACGGCCCUUCGGGUUGUAAACCUCUUUCAGUACCGACGAAGCGGAAGUGACGGUAGGUACAGAAGAAGCACCGGCCAAACUACGUGCCAGCAGCCGCGGUAAUACGUAGGGUGCGAGCGUUGUCCGGAAUUAUUGGGCGUAAAGGGCUCGUAGGCGGUUUGUCGCGUCGGGAGUGAAAACACUGGGCUUAACUCAGUGCUUGCUUCCGAUACGGGCAGACUAGAGGCAUGCAGGGGAGAACGGAAUUCCUGGUGUAGCGGUGAAAUGCGCAGAUAUCAGGAGGAACACCGGUGGCGAAGGCGGUUCUCUGGGCAUGUCCCUGACGCUGAGGGAGCGAAAGUGUGGGGGAGCGAACAGGAUUAGAUA